rnacentral:rRNA from 1 species
AUUGCACGCUGGCGGCAGGCUUAACACAUGCAAGUCGAGCGAGCGGCGGACGGGUGAGUAAUGUCUGGGAAACUGCCUGAUGGAGGGGGAUAACUACUGGAAACGGUAGCUAAUACCGCAUACCAUCGGAUGUGCCCAGAUGGGCUUAGCUAGUAGGUGGGGUAAAGGCUCACCUAGGCGACGAUCCCUAGCUGGUCUGAGAGGAUUAACAGACAGACUGGAACGGUGACAAGGUCCAGACGCCUACGGGAGGCAGCAGUGGGGAAUAUUGCACAAUGGGCGAAAGCCUGAGGCAGCCAUGCCGCGUGUAUGAAGAAGGCCUUCGGGUUGUAAAGUACUUUCAGCGGGGAGGCGUUACCCGCAGAAGAAGCACCGGCUAACUCCGUGCCAGCAGCCGCGGUAAUUC